rnacentral:rRNA from 1 species
CGCUGGCGGUGCGCCUUAUGCAUGCAAGUCGAGCGAAGCUUUUCAGUAGUUUACUACAGAAAAUGACUGAGCGGCGAACGGGUGAGUAACGCGUGAGCAAUCUACCUUAGUUACAGGGAUAGCCCGAGGAAACUCGGAUUAAUACCUGAUAUUCUUUACAUUUCGCAUGAAAUCAAAAGGAAAGGUCAGCCGAACUAAGAUGAGCUCGCGUUCUAUCAGCUAGUUGGUGAGGUAAAAGCUCACCAAGGCAACGACGGAUAGCUGGUCUGAGAGGACGAUCAGCCACACUGGGACUGAGACACGGCCCAGACUCCUACGGGAGGCUGCAGCAGGGAAUAUUGCGCAAUGAGCGAAAGCUUGACGCAGCGACACCGCGUGUGGGAUGACGGAUCUAGGUUUGUAAACCACUUUCAGGAGGGAAGAAAAUGACGGUACCUCCACAAGAAGCCCCGGCCAACUACGUGCCAGCAGCCGCGGUAAUACGUAGGGGGCGAGCGUUGUCCGGAUUUAUUGGGCGUAAAGAGCUCGUAGGCGGUUCAACAAGUCGGUCGUAAAAGUUCAGGGCUCAACCCUGAAAUGUCGAUCGAUACUGUUGUGACUAGGAUACGGUAGAGGUGAGUGGAAUUCCGAGUGUAGCGGUGAAAUGCGUAGAUAUUCGGAGGAACACCAAUUGCGAAGGCAGCUCACUGGGCCGCUAUCGACGCUGAGGAGCGAAAGCUAGGGGAGCAAACAGGAUUAGAUACCCUGGUAGUCCUAGCUGUAAACGAUGGAUACUAGACGUAGGAACUGGAUUGACGGUUUCUGUGUCGUAGCUAACGCGUUAAGUAUCCCGCC